rfam:Microbial mat metagenome hsmat03_BHWI1777_x1, whole genome shotgun sequence.
CGACCCCCGUUCGGUAAAGGCGCAGCCCGCCAGCCGGAAGCGAGUCUUGCACGGACGUCGGUGACGACGUUCGUGAAGCGUAGACAGCGGUCGCUGAAGCCGUGCGUCAGCCUCGAAAUCAUGGUCCUGUCGAAGCCUUCGGUGUGUUGGUCCCGGGGGCAGCACCGGAAAGUCCGUCAUCGGCGAGGACGACCGGUUCGACCGGGUCUCGGACAC